rnacentral:rRNA from 1 species
AUGCACGCUGGCGGCGUGCCUCAUACAUGCAAGUCGAGCGAACAGACGAGGAGCUUGCUCCUCUGACGUUAGCGGCGGACGGGUGAGUAACACGUGGAUAACCUACCUAUAAGACUGGGAUAACUUCGGGAAACCGGAGCUAAUACCGGAUAAUAUAUUGAACCGCAUGGUUCAAUAGUGAAAGACGGUUUUGCUGUCACUUAUAGAUGGAUCCGCGCCGCAUUAGCUAGUUGGUAAGGUAACGGCUUACCAAGGCAACGAUGCGUAGCCGACCUGAGAGGGUGAUCGGCCACACUGGAACUGAGACACGGUCCAGACUCCUACGGGAGGCAGCAGUAGGGAAUCUUCCGCAAUGGGUGAAAGCCUGACGGAGCAACGCCGCGUGAGUGAUGAAGGUCUUCGGAUCGUAAAACUCUGUUAUUAGGGAAGAACAAAUGUGUAAGUAACUAUGCACGUCUUGACGGUACCUAAUCAGAAAGCCACGGCUAACUACGUG